ACCUGGCUGGCUCAGUUGGUAGAGCACAUGACUUUUGAUCAUGGGGUCGUGAGUUUGAGCCCCACAUUGGGUG